rnacentral:rRNA from 1 species
AAAGCGAAGAGUUUGAUCCUGGCUCAGAUUGAACGCUGGCGGCAUGCCUAACACAUGCAAGUCGAGCGGCAGCACAGCCCCGCAAGGGGUGGGUGGCGAGCGGCGGACGGGUGAGGAAUGCAUCGGAAUCUGCCCUGUCGUGGGGGAUAACGUAGGGAAACUUACGCUAAUACCGCAUACGACCGAGAGGUGAAAGCGGGGGACCCGAGAGGGCCUCGCGCGGCAGGAUGAGCCGAUGCCCGAUUAGCUGGUUGGUGGGGUAACGGCCCACCAAGGCGACGAUCGGUAGCUGGUCUGAGAGGAUGAUCAGCCACACUGGGACUGAGACACGGCCCAGACUCCUACGGGAGGCAGCAGUGGGGAAUAUUGGACAAUGGGGGCAACCCUGAUCCAGCAAUGCCGCGUGUGUGA